rnacentral:rRNA from 1 species
GUCCUCUUGGUUGUAUUUGAGGUCUGACCUGCCCAGUGAAUUAUUAUUUUAACGGCCGCAGUAUUUUGACUGUGCAAAGGUAGCAUAAUCAUUAGUCUUUUAAUAGGAGGCUGGUAUGAAGGGUUUGACGAGGUGUUAGCUGUCUCAUUUAAUUUGAAAUUAAAAUUUAACUUUUCAGUUAAAAGGCUGAAAUAAUAUUGGAAGACGAGAAGACCCUAUAGAGCUUUAUAUUUAAAAUUUUAAUUAAUUUUUGUUUAUUAUUAUUUAUUAUUUUUUUAAUUAUUUUGUUGGGGUGACAAAAAUAUAUAAUGAACUUUUUUAUUUAAAUAACAUUGAUUUAUGAAAAUUAGAUCCAAUCUUAUUGAUUGUUAGAUUAAGUUACCUUAGGGAUAACAGCGUAAUCUUCCUUCAGAGUUCAUAUUUACAGGAAGGCUUGCGACCUCGAUGUUGGAUUAAGAUAAUAAUUAGGUGUAGCCGCUUAAUAUAUAGGUCUGUUCGACCUUUAAAUUCUU